GCCUAACAUCUAGCCCAUAUCAUUCGCAUGACUUCCUUAAUCCCCCACCCUUAAACAAAACA
rnacentral:rRNA from 1 species